rnacentral:miRNA from 1 species
CCAUAAAUCUCUUGGACUACAGGGGUCCAAGAGAUCAGGACUGUAUAUAUAUAUAUGCAAUAUGACAUAAAUGAUUACAGUCCUGAUCUCUUGGACCCCUGUAGUCCAAGAGAUUUAUGG